rnacentral:lncRNA from 1 species
GGAAGAUUAUUAAUUGGGACCCUUUCCUCUACUUCAUUGGUACCAGUCAGGUUCACUGAUGAUCUGCUUCCAGAUAUCCUCAAAUACUUCAUGACAAGGUCUUCUGCCUUUCCAGAUAUGUAGGCUCUUAGGACCAAGGGCAAAUGGAAACUAUUACCAGACAAAUGUCAUGAACAAGGAAUAUGGGAGUGCCAACUUUCUACCGUGUCUUUCCUUUUCCACCCAGUACCUCUAUGACUCGGGAAGAGGAGAAGGAGCACAGUGGCAGCUGGACAGUCAAUACUGGAGUGCCAGUUGAUAAACAUUUACCAGCAUACCCAUUCCAGUCUUAAAUCACAAUAGAUGGAUAUCAAGAGGCUCUGAGCAAUUUGGAGGCAAGAGUAAGAAAAAGUUCAAGUUUCAAGAUUGAGCUUCAAAGCAUCUUGCUGCAUAACACCUUCAUGUUCUCUGCCCAGCUGUACACUUUCCCCACUCCACUUCCAAAGUAUUAUUUGACUUACCU